rnacentral:rRNA from 1 species
GAUGAACGCUGGCGGCGUGCUUAACACAUGCAAGUCGAACGAAGCACCUUAUUCUGAUUUCUUCGGAAUGCAAAAUGUGGUGACUGAGUGGCGGACGGGUGAGUAACGCGUGGGUAACCUGCCUCAUACAGGGGGAUAGCAGACAGAAAUGACUGCUAAUACCGCAGAAUACCACAGCACCGCAUGGUGCAGGGGUAAAAACUCCGGUGGUAUGAGAUGGACCCGCGUCUGAUUAGGUAGUUGGUGGGGUAACGGCCUACCAGGCCGACGAUCAGUAGCCGACCUGAAGGGGUGGCCGGACACAUUGGGACUGAGACACGGCCCAAACUCCUGCGGGAGGCAGCAGUGGGGAAUAUUGCACAAUGGGGGAAACCCUGAUGCGGCGACGCCGCGUGAGCGAUGAAGUAUUUCGGUAUGUAAAGCUCUAUCAGCAGGGAAGAAAAUGACGGUACCUGACUAAGAAGCACCGGCUAAAUACGUGCCAGCCGCCGCCGUAA